GCUAAAAAUCUAGCUCCCCUCAAUCACAUGCACCCCCCCCCCUUUUUUUUUAAAAAACUAAAACAUUCCCCCAUUUUAGUAAAGGAGAUUGAAAAAAUUGCCGAAGCGAUAAACAUAGUACCGCAAGGGAAAGAUGAAAUAUUAAUGAAAAUCUUUAAGCAUAAAAAAGUAGAGCCUAACUCUCGUACCUUUUGCAUCAUGGUUCAACUAGUCUAAUCAAGCAAAAAGUAUUACAGUUUGACCCCCCGAAACUAAGCGAGCUACUUCAGGGCAGCUUAAUGAGCCAACCCGUCUCUGUUGCAAAAGAGUGGGAAGACCCUCAAGUAGAGGUGAUAUACCUAACGAGCUUAGUGAUAGCUGGUUACUCGGGAAAAGGAUUUUAGUCCAACCUAAAGUCUUACUUUUACACUAAAAACACCACUUGACUUUAGAAUAAUUCAAAUAAGGUACAGCCUAUUUGAAACAGGAUACAACCUCAUCUGACGGGUAAACUUCUUCCUCAUCCCCUAAGUAGGCCUAAGAGCAGCCACCUUUAAAAAAGCGUCAUAGCUUAAUCUAGUAACCCCCCUCAAUUCCCCAUGUUUUUUUAAACCCUCUAACAACACCGAGUAAUUCUAUAUCACUAUAGAAGAUUUUAUGUUGAAACUAGUAACAAGAAGCAAACCUUCUCUUAUAUGCAAACAUAAAUCAGAAAGGAUAAACCGCUGAUAAUUAACGCCCAUGAAUUUAUAUUAGCAACUUUUUCCCAAGAAAAACCUAAUUUUCUCCACGUUAACCUGACACAAGAGCAUCCCAAGAAAGAUUUAAAGAAAAAGAAGGAACUCGGCAAAUCUUAACCCCGCCUGUUUACCAAAAACAUCGCCUCUUGAUUUCAAAUAAGAGGUCCAGCCUGCCCAGUGACAAAUGUUCAACGGCCGCGGUAUCCUAACCGUGCGAAGGUAGCGUAAUCACUUGUUCUUUAAAUGAGGACUAGUAUGAAUGGCUUCACGAGGGUUAUACUGUCUCCUCUUUCUAAUCAGUGAAACUAAUCUCCCCGUGAAGAAGCGGGGAUAUGCCUAUAAGACGAGAAGACCCUAUGGAGCUUUAAACUUCUCUUCAAGCACUAAACUAACUUAACAAGUCACCGACCCUUAAUAAACUUAAAUCUUUGGCGCCAUGAAGAUGAUUUUUAGGUUGGGGUGACCGCGGAGCAUAAAAAAACCUCCACGAUGAACAGGCCUCUUAAGCCUUCAGCAAAGGGCCACAACCCAAAGCACUAAAAAACUAACACCCAUUGACCCAAUAUUAUUUGAUCAACGAACCAAGUUACCCUAGGGAUAACAGCGCAAUCUACUUUGAGAGUCCUUAUCGACAAGUGGGUUUACGACCUCGAUGUUGGAUCAGGGUAUCCCAGUGGUGCAGCCGCUACUAAUGGUUCGUUUGUUCAACGAUUAAAACCCU
rnacentral:rRNA from 1 species